CCAGCAGCUGCGGUAAUUCCAGCUCCAGUAGCGUAUAUUAAAGUUGUUGCAGUUAAAAAGCUCGUAGUUGGAUCUCGGGAGCGUGCCGGCGGUCCUGUUUGCGCAGGCACUGCCGGUUUCGACCCGCCCGCGGGCCUUCCCUCGGUGUCCUUAACUGGGUGCCUUGGGGGACUCGCGCGUUUACUUUGAAAAAAUUAGAGUGUUCAAGGCAGGCGCCACCGCCUGCAUACCGAUGCAUGGAAUAAUGGAAGAGGACGCCCGUCCUGUUCUGUUGGUCUACGGGAACCGGGUGUAAUGAUCAAGAGGGACGGCCGGGGGCAUUAGUAUUAUGGUGUGAGAGGUGAAAUUCUGGGACCGCCGUAAGACUAACAACAGCGAAAGCAUUUGCCAAGAAUGUUUUCAUUGAUCAAGAACGAAAGU
rnacentral:rRNA from 1 species